GGUUCCAUAUUUCAGUGGCUAGAAUAUUCCCUUUACACGGGAAAGGUCGCCGGUUCGAUCCCGGCUGGAGCCA